GUCCGCGUAGCUCAGUAGGAUAGAGCGCACGCCUCCUAAGCGUAAGGUCGGCGGUUCAAUUCCGCCCGUGGACG
rfam:Enterococcus cecorum DSM 20682 = ATCC 43198 genomic scaffold adfme-supercont2.1, whole genome shotgun sequence.